GAUGAACGCUGGCGGCGUGCCUAAUACAUGCAAGUCGAGCGAACGGACGAGAAGCUUGCUUCUCUGAUGUUAGCGGCGGACGGGUGAGUAACACGUGGAUAACCUACCUAUAAGACUGGGAUAACUUCGGGAAACCGGAGCUAAUACCGGAUAAUAUUUUGAACCGCAUGGUUCAAAAGUGAAAGACGGUCUUGCUGUCACUUAUAGAUGGAUCCGCGCUGCAUUAGCUAGUUGGUAAGGUAACGGCUUACCAAGGCAACGAUGCAUAGCCGACCUGAGAGGGUGAUCGCCCACACUGGAACUGAGACACGGUCCAGACUCCUACGGGAGGCAGCAGUAGGGAAUCUUCCGCAAUGGGCGAAAGCCUGACGGAGCGACGCCGCGUGAGUGAUGAAGGUCUUCGGAUCGUGAAACUCUGUUAUUAGGGAAGAACAUAUGUGUAAGUAACUGUGCACAUCUUGACGGUACCUAAUCAGAAAGCCACGGCUAACUACGUG
rnacentral:rRNA from 1 species